AUUUGUUGGGUGGGCAUGGUAACUAACUCAUGCCUGUAGUCCUAGCACUUCGGGAGGCCAAGGCAAGAGGAUCACUUGAGCCCAGGACUUCAAGACCAGCCAGGGCAACAGAUGGGCAAGAAGAACCCAUCAGGUGAUUACAGCCUCAAGCAAUCCUCCUGCCUCAGGAUCUUUGGAGUAGCUGGGACUACAGACAUGCACCACUGCUCCCAGCUUUCGAUACCUACUUAUUAAGUAUCACAUCCUGGAAAAUCCCUCAGUCCCAAGAAAGCCAAAACAGUUGAUCAUACCAAAUGCUCUGUUCUAGGCACUGAGGAUACAGCCCUGAAAAGACCAACAUGAUUUAAACCCACGUGGAGCUUCUUGGGACCUACAUUGACCAACAUAGUGGGGCAGAAGAGAUGCUGCACACGUCUAGAGCUUAUACCUUGAAAAACUUCGCAGCUUCCAUUUUCACUCUUUUGGAACUCUGCCCCGAGACCACCACACCAGAAGAAACCCUGAAAGAAAAGCCCCAGAAUGAGAGACACUUAGCCACCUGGCUGUCCCGGCUGAGCCUUCAGCCACAUGCAGCCUCAUGAGCAAACCCAGCUUGGGAGACGGAGCGAGUCCCUGUUUCCUGUUUCAAAAACAUAAAUAAAAAAGAAGAAGAAGAAAGAAAAAGAAGAAGAAGAAGGAGAAGGAGAAGGAGAAGGAGAAGGAGAAGGAGAAGAAGAAGAAGAAAGAAGAAGGAGGAGGAGGAGGAGGAGAGGAAGAGGAGGAGAAGGAAAAAGUGAGGGAGCCAGCUUCCAUGUCAUGAGGGACUGAAACCUUCUGACCACAACCACAUAAACAAGCUCAGAAACAGAUCAUCCAGCCCCAAAGAGGCUUCCAGCAGCUGCAGCCCAGCCAACAGCAUGACUGUAAACAGGGGAGAUACCCUGAAGCAGAACCACCCAGCAAAGCCACUCCUGGAUUCUUGACCUGCAGAAACUUAACAACAUCUCCAGAUUGACGCACACAGUUAGAGGUCUAACCACCCAAGAGUAACCAUGGGCAAUCCUGGGAUGGCACUUUCUUCCCUUCAAGUGAUCACUAGAGUUGACCAAGGUCAAAAGUUAACCAAGUGUUCCAGCAGCCUGGGGGUUGUGGUGAAUUACGUGAGUGGCCUGCUUUCCUUUGAACCCUCCGAUUCUCUGCAAUUGCAAAGAUUUAGGAGUGUGGAUAUUCUAAUUAGGCCAUGUGAAAUUUAAUUUCAUAGUGGCGAAAUUUGCAAGGUCUUCUAAAUGUGCACGGAAUAAACAUGGAGCCUUUGAAAAUUCA